AUUUUUUGACAAUGGGGGAAACCCUGAUCCAGCCAUCCCGCGUUUGCGAUGAAGGNCANNGGGUUNUNAAGCACUUUUGUCAGNNNNNAAAAGGUUCUGACUAAUACCCGGAAAUGAUCACGGUACCUGAAGAAUAAGCACCGGCUAACUACGUGUCAGCAGCCGCGGUAAUACGUAGGGUGCAAGCGUUAAUCGGAAUUACUGGGCGUAAAGCGUGCGCAGGCGGUUCGGAAAGAAUGAUGUGAACACCCAGGGCUCAACCUUGGAACUGCAUUCUUAACUACCGAACUAGAGUAUGUCAGAGGAGGGUAGAAUUCCGCGUCUAGCAGUGAAAUGCGUAGAUAUGCGGAGGAAUACCGAUGGCGAAGGCAGCCCCCUGGGAUAAUACUGACGCUCAUGCACGAAAGCGUGGGUAGCAAACAGG
rnacentral:rRNA from 1 species